GGCAGUGCGAGCUUGGCACUUCGUGUUUUCUGUGUGAUCGUCUUUUGCUUAUACUAACACCGAAGUCAAGAUGCCUCGCGGGCGUGGGCGCGGGCGGGCGGCGACGAAGAGGAAGGCGGCGGCGGUGGCGGAUGACGACGCGCCCCCCGCCAAGCUGGAGCGCGAGGCCAGCGAGAACACGCGGCUGCGGCAGGCGAUCUGCGAGGCCAAGGAGGGCGCCGCCAAGAGGCCCGCCAAGCGCAAGCCGGACGGCGUCCUCAGCAGGAGCCACCCCGGGGUAA